ACACUCCUACGGGAGGCAUCAGUGGGGAAUAUUGCACAAUGGGCGCAAGCCUGAUGCAGCCAUGCCGCGUGUAUGAAGAAGGCCUUCGGGUUGUAAAGUACUUUCAGCGGGGAGGAAGGCGAUAAGGUUAAUAACCUUGUCGAUUGACGUUACCCGCAGAAGAAGCACCGGCUAACUCCGUGCCAGCAGCCGCGGUAAUACGGAGGGUGCAAGCGUUAAUCGGAAUUACUGGGCGUAAAGCGCACGCAGGCGGUCUGUCAAGUCGGAUGUGAAAUCCCCGGGCUCAACCUGGGAACUGCAUUCGAAACUGGCAGGCUAGAGUCUUGUAGAGGGGGGUAGAAUUCCAGGUGUAGCGGUGAAAUGCGUAGAGAUCUGGAGGAAUACCGGUGGCGAAGGCGGCCCCCUGGACAAAGACUGACGCUCAGGUGCGAAAGCGUGGGGAGCAAACAGGAUUAGAUACCCCGGUAGUCCCA
rnacentral:rRNA from 1 species